CCUACGGGAGGCAGCAGUGAGGAAUAUUGGUCAAUGGACGAGAGUCUGAACCAGCCAAGUAGCGUGAAGGAUGACUGCCCUAUGGGUUGUAAACUUCUUUUAUAUGGGAAUAAAAUGUUCCACGUGUGGGAUUUUGUAUGUACCAUAUGAAUAAGGAUCGGCUAACUCCGUGCCAGCAGCCGCGGUAAUACGGAGGAUCCGAGCGUUAUCCGGAUUUAUUGGGUUUAAAGGGAGCGUAGGUGGAUUGUUAAGUCAGUUGUGAAAGUUUGCGGCGCAACCGUAAAAUUGCAGUUGAAACUGGCAGUCUUGAGUACAGUAGAGGUGGGCGGAAUUCGUGGUGUAGCGGUGAAAUGCUUAGAUAUCACGAAGAACGCCGAUUGCGAAGGCAGUUCACUGGACUGCAACUGACACUGAGGCUCGAAAGUGUGGGUAUCAAACAGGAUUAGAUACCCGAGUAGUC
rnacentral:rRNA from 1 species